AUUGCCUUCUCCGUCUGUAAUCCUCUACUGACACUAAAAACAAUCAGCUGUGUCUAGUAGGUGUAGAGUUCCGAAGCUCAGAAUCUUCGUGCAAAGUCGUGGGUGGCAGGCUGGUGGCUCCAGCUCCUGGAGCGCUGGCUUCACUUCCGGGAUGACUGGCUGUGAUACUGUUGCUUCCCUGGAGAUGCUGAACUUCCUGAGGGCUCGGGUCAUCGGUUCUUUCAAAUAAAACAUAACCACUUCAACUGCACAAACUUCACUCCAAUAUGCUCUGUGCAAGUGGCAUCUAGCAGGCUGUUGGCCUCUGUGGCUGACUCAUCUCAGGUGGGAGCGGUGGGCAGUGAAGGAUCCAGGGGCAGUGGGGGAACCAGCUGCCUCGCCCCCUCCCCAGGGCUCCCCAGGAUGUGGCCGUAAUCCAGAUGAGGGCCGGAAGUCACCCUGGGAGCGAAGGUCAGGCUUUCUUCCGCGCUGCGGCUGAUUGGGGAAAACAGGGAGGUGCCCGCAGUGCAUUCCCGUGAGUCCCUUCUGAAUGACUGGCUCAGUCUUUUAUUUCCUGGGUCGAACAUUCACAGACGACAAGACCAGCCUCGCUGCAAGGGAAUCUAAGGACAGGAGCAUUCCUGCCCUCCCAGCACUACAGGAGGGGAAGGCAACGGGGCGGGGCUACAAAUGCCAGGAGGGAACCAAUCCACAGGGUCUGCUACAGUUGAAAAGCAACGUCAAUGACUGGGAUUUCCUGUCCCUAAUGGGGCUGCUUUAUGGUAUAGAUGGACCACGAAUACGUUGUCUAGCCAGCGCUAUGUUGACAGCUACCUUGCUGGUGGUCCAGGGUUUUACUGUGAAAAUGAACAUCCUGUUACAAUUCUGGUCACUGUGCCCAGCUGAUCUUCCAUAAUGUUGCAUGAGGCUGUAGUUCUACCAACUGUGGACGAGAGUUCACCACCCUGCCGCCAGUGCCAGGAAUCUUCUGAAGUUCCGACUGCCUGCUGCCUGGUGUUUGUUGCAAAAGCUCCUCCCCAUCCUGGCUCCUGCCUUACCUCUGUGGAGCCGGACUUCAGAGCUCCCUGAGAGGCUGCAUCCUGGGCUAUCGGCCUCAGGCCAGGACAGGAAAAAGGCCUGCGAGACAUAUGAGUCCGCGCAGAACACACGGAGCUGAGUCCUUCCCUGGUGGUGCGGUGGUUGAGAAUUCACCUUCCAAUGCAGCGGCAGAGGUUCUGAUCCCUGGUCGGGGGACGGCGAUCCCACGUGCUGCAGAGCUACUGAGCCGGCGCUUCAACUGCUGACCCCACGCCCCGACUGGAGAGUCCGUGGACGACCACGAAAGAUCCCACGUGACAACUCAGACCUGACACAGUCAAGGAAAUAAAUAAAACUGUUUUUCAAUGAAGCCAAAACGGGAACAUAAAAACUAUGUGAGGCAUCAGUUUAGGAGGCCCAGGGCCUCUGUCCGGCCUAUGGGGCUAACUGAAACCUGAUGGGCUGGCUUGGCGCCUGCCCCCGCUUCUGCCUCCCGUAAUUAGCUUGGAAGCACACUGGCUUCCUUCUGCGGUUCGUAGCCUGGCACAAGGUGAAGAUCCUGGUCACCUGUGUGGAAGGAGGGCUUUGUGGGCAGGUGCGAGAGCCGGCCAGGAAUCUUCCAGAGCUUUACGGCACCUCCCUCCAGUGCCCACCCCUCCUCGCUUGCUUCUAGCUGAUUUCACCCGAGGCGGGUUGGCUUUUUGAAAAUACAGCCUCAAAAGGAUUGCCGACUCCCCCGGGGCCCAUAUGUGAGGGGUCACUGCAGUUAUCAGUGAGAAGCGAGUUCAGAGA